rnacentral:rRNA from 1 species
AUAUCACCAUGUCAAUGACCAAUUUAGUCUGAUCUCUGAAGCUAAGCAAGGUUGGGCCUGGUUAGUGUUUGAAUAGGAGACCACUGGGAAUAUAUCAGGUA